AGCUUUGUGGGGUGGCAGUAGUGUAGCCAGUGAGGUUUGUCUCAGGCACGAUUAUUGCUAAGUGAAAACCUAGCCCAGAGAGC
rnacentral:snRNA from 1 species